rnacentral:misc_RNA from 1 species
AAGUCGUAACAAGGUUUCCGUAGGUGAACCUGCGGAAGGAUCAUUAACACAACAACUUCUAUAUCAACCUGGGAGCACUUGACACGAGCCUUUCCGAGCGGAUGCUGAUUCGGCAAUGGUUGGAUUCGGCCUUCUCAGCUGUGGCGCCAUCUUGGCCCUGCCAUGAACUUGAAAGUGGCUUGGUCUUGCUCGUACAUCAUGUGCGAUACGUGAGUUCCUAUCCGACUUCGUUAGGUAUUACAGCCUCAACCAUGGCUGGCCCUUUUUUUUUUACAACCUAUUGAAUUUCUGUACUGAUUUGGGCUUUCGGAUCGAGAGGAAUCAAUUCCUUUCUCCAAAGCUUUUUGAUGGAGCAAUCCACUCAUUAAGUAACCAAAACACAACUCUUAACAGCGGAUAUCUCGGUUCUC